rnacentral:rRNA from 1 species
AGAAUGAACGCUGGCGGCGUGCUUAACACAUGCAAGUCGAACGAGGCUGAGGGGGCAACUCCUCAGUUUAGUGGCGGACGGGUGAGUAACACGUGGGUAACCUGCCCGGAAGUGGGGAAUACCUCGGGGAAACUCGAGCUAAUACCGCAUGACAUCUUUAGGACGAAAGUCCUGACGAUCAAAGCGGGGUCGCAAGAUCUCGCGCUACCGGAUGGGCCCGCGCCCGAUUAGCUAGUUGGUGAGGUAACGGCUCACCAAGGCUUCGAUC